GGGCUCGUAGCUCAGCUGGGAGAGCGCUGCGUUCGCAUCGCAGAGGUCGAGGGUUCGAUCCCCUUCGAGUCCACCA
rnacentral:tRNA from 9 species